UCCUUACUCUAAUGGCUCCAUCCUCUUCCAGCCCAUAAGCAUUUUGUCACUGUGACCCCAGAGGUUAUUCAGGCCUUUUGAUCUUGCCUACCUCCAGCCCAGUUUCCCAGCUGCCCUGCGGACCCACCACCCAGAGGGAAAUUUGGGCUCGCCCAUCGGCAGCCAGCCAGCACUGCCUGUGCUCCGUGCCAGCCCUUCAGGAAUCUACCUAGAGUCCCCUCUCCAGCAGGGUGGAGUCUAUUAUGGGUCGAUUAGCUGCUCCUUUUCAGCGCAGAUUUAACACUGUCCAAAAGGUUGUUUCUCUGGAGAAUCCUGAUUAAUACAUGAAGGGUCAAGAUAAGUCUACUCCAGGUGAAGUGCAAAAAAUGAACAAGGAGGCCCAAUGAUGCAUCUGCUUAACUUUUCAGUUGUCAAUGCAAAUUAAGCACAAAGAGGACAGAGUUGAUGACAUAUCAGGAACAUUUUUUACUUCCGGAGCAGGUCUGAGUCCCAGCGGAAGACUGAGGCCGACUGAGCCAGAGGCACCACUUCAAUAGGUCACUGGUCUCUGCAGGGAAAGGAAAAGGUGUAAGAGUUCUCCCUGCAUAGAUGCUAUUUGUGACUUGGAUGUUUUCUUUCUAAUACAAAUGCAUCAAAGUGUUCACAGGAAUCUAGCUAUAUGCAAGAAGUCUGGAUUAUCUGCCUGAGAGAACUGGCCAGUAUCUCACCCAUGAGCACCAGAACCCAUUUCUAGAUUACUAAGAAAGGAGCACAAGAACACUGUGUAUAAGGCUCUGUGUUCCUAGAACUUUCUAAAUUUUACUUAAUGCAGGUUAACUUCAUCAACCCUGGUGAAAAUGCCACCUCCUCAUGAGGAAGCCUUCCCCAUUUGCUCUGUCUCAGAGACACUUGACUCCAUGGACUUCUCUGCAAUUCUGUUCUGUGUAGGACUGCCUAGUGCCUAGCCUUCUUGUGAUGUUCCUUGCUUAUGUCUUGUCUCCCCAUUUGAUUUGGAGGGUCCUGGGCAGGGACCACUGGGCUGGGCUCUAGUAGGCCCCCUGUAAAGACCUGUUGAGUAAUUAGAAGAGACAGUGGCCCCAUCUGGGUGAAUCCUGAAUUUAAUCAAUUUCCUGGAUCCUUGUUUAUUUUGCAAGUAGGAUAAGAAUGUCAUUGAAAUCCUAUCAUGUAGUCAUGGAAGGGCUAAUACAGUCAGUGUACUGCUACUCACUAAGCAUGCUGUUUAGCUCAGCGGUUUUUUGUUUUGUUUUGAUAACAAGACUGUCUCGAUGAAAGAAGCAGGGCGUUGUUUAAUAUUCUAAUGCAGGCUCCUUAUUUCACGACAUACUGGUAGUUACACUUGGAGUCGCAGUGAAAUAAAACAUCUAGGCCAGC
rnacentral:lncRNA from 1 species